CAAAGAUACAGAAGGCAUUGACGAAUAACUAUGACGACAUUAAUGAGCACAUACAGGUACUAACAUUAGGCGGACCAAGUCCACUUUAUGGCGGCAUGUUAAUCAGUAUGGAAACAGCCCAUAUUGCUAAAAGAAGAUAUGUUCCAAGUGUAAACGGCUUAAAUUUAUCUCCGAAAAUAAUUGUCAUCACUGAUGGUUGUCCUACGGAUACAUUACUACAUGCAGGACCAGACAUUCAGGACGAAAGUAAAGUGGAACAGACCGUGUCUCACAUAUCAUAAGCUGUUGAAGAAAUUGACAAGAGAGACUUUGAAUUGUUUUUCAUCGGCGUUGGAAAAUGCAACAAAUCUUUCAUACACAACAUGUCAACGAUAAGCCAGUCAAAGAUGUAUUUGUACAAAGAUGGAAGGAGGCUUGCUCGCAAUGGGUUCUUUGAGUCACAUUUGGCUUCACAGGGACUUCAAUUGAAAUUGUCGUUAAAAACCAGUCUGUCAGUUUUGGAUGAGGACGAUAUAAAAUUUAUCCGUGCUGACACAAGGAGGCGCUGCGAAAGGCCGUACGGGUCAUUGUUUCAGGAGAGUAAUGACGCUUAUCUGCUAUCACGAGGCUGCCGGGUACGCAGGGGACCGGCUUGGAAAAAUGGAUGCAUUGACAAUAGUGGUCCUGGUACUGUCAUCGGUCAUUUUGAUGGGAAACUGGUGGUCACAUGGGAUAUGAAUGGCCACACAAGCAGCUACAGAUUCACCAGGGAUUGCUUUGAAGUGAUGUCAUCAAAUUGAGUUGAUAAGAAAAUAUCUAACAAAACAUGUAAUCUUGAGGUCUAUAAAUCGUUAUUCAAUUGGUGGCAGCUGCGGAUCAAAAUGAUCCUUGGCACAAACUGACAUUACACAAAAACACAAACAAGCACAAUACAUUAUUGUUCAAGCAACGCUAACAGGAAACGCAAACAGUGUUUAAGGCAUCUUAAACCUGAGCAUCUUU